AUUCUGCCAGUAGUCAUAUGCUUGUCUCAAAGAUUAAGCCAUGCAUGUCUAAGUAUAAGCAAUUAUACCGUGAAACUGCGAAUGGCUCAUUAAAUCAGUUAUCGUUUAUUUGAUAAUACCUUACUACUUGGAUAACCGUGGUAAUUCUAGAGCUAAUACAUGCUGAAAAUCCCGACUUCGGAAGGGAUGUGUUUAUUAGAUAAAAAACCAAUGCCCUUCGGGGCUCCUUGGUGAUUCAUAAUAACUUUACGGAUCGCAUAGCCUUGCGCUGGCGACGGUUCAUUCAAAUUUCUGCCCUAUCAACUUUCGAUGGUAAGGUAUUGGCUUACCAUGGUUUCAACGGGUAACGGGGAAUUAGGGUUCGAUUCCGGAGAGGGAGCCUGAGAAACGGCUACCACAUCCAAGGAAGGCAGCAGGCGCGCAAAUUACCCAAUCCCGAUUCGGGAGGUAGUGACAAUAAAUACUGAUACAGGGCUCUUUUGGGUCUUGUAAUUGGAAUGAGUACAAUUUAAACCUCUUAACGAGGAACAAUUGGAGGGCAAGUCUGGUGCCAGCAGCCGCGGUAAUUCCAGCUCCAAUAGCGUAUAUUAAAGUUGUUGCAGUUAAAAAGCUCGUAGUUGAAACUUGGUCUGGCUGGCGGGUCCGCCUCACCGCGUGCACUCGUCCGGCCGGGCCUUCCUUCUGAAGAACCUCAUGCCCUUUACUGGGCGUGUUGGGGAAUCAGGACUUUUACUUUGAAAAAAUUAGAGUGUUCAAAGCAGGCCUUUGCUCGAAUACGUUAGCAUGGAAUAAUAAAAUAGGGCGUGCGUUUCUAUUUUGUUGGUUUCUAGAGACGCCGCAAUGAUUAACAGGAACAGUCGGGGGCAUCAGUAUUCAGUUGUCAGAGGUGAAAUUCUUGGAUUUACUGAAGACUAACUACUGCGAAAGCAUUU
rnacentral:rRNA from 1 species